GAUUGAACGCUGGCGGCAGGCCUAACACAUGCAAGUCGAACGGUAACAGGAAGCAGCUUGCUGCUUYGCUGACGAGUGGCGGACGGGUGAGUAAUGUCUGGGAAACUGCCUGAUGGAGGGGGAUAACUACUGGAAACGGUGGCUAAUACCGCAUAACGUCGCAAGACCAAAGAGGGGGACCUUCGGGCCUCUUGCCAUCAGAUGUGCCCAGAUGGGAUUAGCUWGUUGGUGAGGUAACGGCUCACCAAGGCGACGAUCCCUAGCUGGUCUGAGAGGAUGACCAGCCACACUGGAACUGAGACACGGUCCAGACUCCUACGGGAGGCAGCAGUGGGGAAUAUUGCACAAUGGGCGCAAGCCUGAUGCAGCCAUGCCGCGUGUAUGAAGAAGGCCUUCGGGUUGUAAAGUACUUUCAGCGGGGAGGAAGGUGUUGKGGUUAAUAACCGCAGCAAUUGACGUUACCCGCAGAAGAAGCACCGGCUAACUCC
rnacentral:rRNA from 1 species